UACGGAGGGGGCUAGCGUUGUUCGGAAUUACUGGGCGUAAAGGGCGCGUAGGCGGUUCGAUAAGUCCCGUGUGAAAUCCCUCGGCUCAACUGAGGAAUGGCACGGGAAACUGACGGGCUUGAGUUCGGGAGAGGGAAGCGGAAUUCCGGGUGUAGCGGUGAAAUGCGUAGAUAUCCGGAGGAACACCGGUGGCGAAGGCGGCUCCCUGGACCGACACUGACGCUGAGGCGCGAAAGCUAGGGGAGCAAACGGG
rnacentral:rRNA from 1 species